rnacentral:lncRNA from 1 species
AUGGAUUAGGGUCCAUCCUUCUGGGUCUAUAUGGCAAUACUGCUGGUGGUUCAGGCAGAAGUGCCAAAGGUUGAUCAUGCGGGGCCACAUGAGGUGGAAUGGGCUGAGGUUCUGGCUGGUUCUGCUGAGCUAGUGCAAGGUCAUCUGGUCGGGCUGGGGCUUCGUGUUCUUGAUUAGGAAGGGCUCCUUCCCUCGGACCAGCCUGAAUUUCUCUGUGGUCUGGUACUCCAGCCAUUUGUGCAACUAGGGGGUUUUCCUGGUAUAGCCAUGCUAGUCCUGGCGGAGGGCCAUAAGGGAGAUCUAACUGCUGGACUACAGCAUCCGGGUUUGGGAUUCUGGCCAUGGCGGAUUCUCGGUCCUUCCGGAACUGUCUGUCAACCUGUCAUUGCAUCAUGGCUGUC